rnacentral:pre_miRNA from 1 species
AGUGGAAUAACUGGGUCAAAUGGUUUGGAAUGGUUCCAUUCCAAACUUUCUAAGGAAUCUCCAUACUGCUUUCCAUAAUGGUUGCACUAAUUUGCAGUCCCACCAGCAAU